rnacentral:rRNA from 1 species
GAUGAACGCUGGCGGCGUGCUUAACACAUGCAAGUCGAACGGAAAGGCCCAAGCUUGCUUGGGUCCUCGAGUGGCGAACGGGUGAGUAACACGUGGGUGAUCUGCCCUGCACUUCGGGGUAAGCCUGGGAAACUGGGUCUAAUACCGGAUAGGACGAUGGUUUGGAUGCCAUUGUGGAAAGUUUUUUCGGUGUGGGAUGAGCUCGCGGCCUAUCAGCUUGUUGGUGGGGUAAUGGCCUACCAAGGCGUCGACGGGUAGCCGGCCUGAGAGGGUGUACGGCCACAUUGGGACUGAGAUACGGCCCAGACUCCUACGGGAGGCAGCAGUGGGGAAUAUUGCACAAUGGGCGCAAGCCUGAUGCAGCGACGCCGCGUGGGGGAUGACGGCCUUCGGGUUGUAAACUCCUUUCGCUAGGGACGAAGCGUUUUUGUGACGGUACCUGGAGAAGAAGCACCGGCUAACUACGUG